rnacentral:rRNA from 1 species
UACGUAGGGGGCAAGCGUUGUCCGGAAUCAUUGGGCGUAAAGAGCGCGUAGGCGGUCCGAUAAGUCGGCUGUGAAAGUCAGGGGCUCAACCCUUGAAAGCCGGCCGAUACUGUCGGACUAGAGUCCGGAAGAGGCAAGUGGAAUUCCUGGUGUAGCGGUGGAAUGCGCAGAUAUCAGGAGGAACACCGAUGGCGAAGGCAGGUCACUGGGCCGCAACUGACGCUGAGGAGCGAAAGCAUGGGGAGCGAACAGG